rfam:Triticum aestivum genome assembly, contig: Triticum_aestivum_CS42_TGACv1_scaffold_513293_6BS
ACUGUACUCCCUCCGUCCGGAAUUACUUGUCGCAAAAAUGUAUAGAAAUGGAUGUAUCUAGAACUAAAAUACGUCUAGAUACAUCCAUUUCUUCGACAAUUAUUUUCGUACGGAGGUAGUAUAAA